rnacentral:rRNA from 1 species
UGGGGAAUAUUGCACAAUGGGCGCAAGCCUGAUGCAGCCAUGCCGCGUGUAUGAAGAAGGCCUUCGGGUUGUAAAGUACUUUCAGCGGGGAGGAAGGGAGUAAAGUUAAUACCUUUGCUCAUUGACGUUACCCGCAGAAGAAGCACCGGCUAACUCCGUGCCAGCAGCCGCGGUAAUACGGAGGGUGCAAGCGUUAAUCGGAAUUAUUGGGCGUAAAGGGUACGCAGGCGGUUUAAUAAGUCGAAUGUUAAAGAUCGGGGCUCAACCCCGCAAAGCAUUGGAAACUGAUAAACUUGAGUAGUGGAGAGGAAAGUGGAAUUCCUAGUGUAGUGGUGAAAUACGUAGAUAUUAGGAGGAAUACCAGUAGCGAAGGCGACUUUCUGGACACAAACUGACGCUGAGGUACGAAAGCGUGGGGAGCAAACAGG